UCCUUGAGCUGAGGAGGCAGUCCUGCUGAGCGAGGCCACAGCCUCUACCCCGUGCAGAAAGCACACAGAUGCUGCGGCUGGGAUGGCAGAGCUUAUGGAGAAACCCCUGAGUGAAGGCCAGGCUGGAGAUGGACAAACAGGUCAUAAAAGGAGAGAUCAGUGUCCUCGGCGCUAGCAGUCUGCAGAAAUCCAGGGGGAGAGGACACGAAGGAAUUUCUCCAACCACCAGUGCAGCCAGCAGUGUGAGGCAGAAUCCAGCUCUCUGCAGGCUGAACUCAGACUCAUGUUCACAAGCUGGAAGAUAACCUGUCUGAAGCCAAAGCCCAGCUGGCUGAGGCGGAGAGGAGCCAAGCUGAAAUUAAUGCCAUCAGGCUCCAAGGACAAUGUUGGCUGUGAGGCUUCAGGAAGCAGAGCAGACAGCUGAAUCAGUCCAAGCCUGUGUUGGCAGCCCUGAGAAAACUAAGCAGAGGCUUCAGACAGAAGCGGAGAACCUCACUCAACCUGGAAAAGGCAAGAAAGCCAGCCAUUCAAGAAUGCAUCCAGCACGAGCCUGAUGAGCAAGAUCUGCUGCUGAAGUCUUUCUGUUAACUCACGGAUCCCUUAUUUCCUAGUAUUUUAAGAUCUUUCUAUCAAAUGUCACAGUAAUCUGUAUGGCCAUGAGAAGCAAGGCUAAGAUUUAUCACCUCAUGAAUAAACCUAGACGAGAGCCGCAGCAAAUUCCUAGGAGCACUCAGCAUGCUUCUUGUAAACUCAUUAACUGUCUUCCAGAAACAAGAGUGCAGCUGAAGCAAAAGCCCUCCCUAACUGCAAGGCAAGGCCAAUGCCGCUUGUGCUGCUGAGGACAAGAAGCAGAGAGCCUUUGAUAAGAUGCUGGCAGAAUGGCAACAAAAAAUAUGAAGAGCUGCAGGUGGAAGUGAAUAUUUCGCAGAAGGAAUGUACAUUGACUGGAAAUUCUGAGCUUAAGAGUGUCUGUGAAAAACCCUUGGAGCAUCUGGAAUCUGUGAAGAAAGAACAUGGCCCUUCACGGUGAGUCUGGAGACUGAAGUGACAGGGCAUGCUGAAGCACUUAGGCUCAAGGAGAUGGAAACUGACCAGAACAAAAUGGAAAUCCAAGUGGAUCGUGCCAACAGGAAUAGCAGUGAGCUUGUCAAGAUACUGAAUAAACUGCAACAGCAUCUCAAGGACCUUUGGAAGCAAAUGGAUGAGGAUAUGGAUAAAAACAGAUGAGCAAAUGGAUACAGCCAGAGCUGGAAGCAGUAUGGACCAGCCAGGAGGGCAGUGAGGUUGAAAACCCCACCUUAAAAAGGACAAUGUAAGAUUCUGCCUCCAAUGAAACUACAGUUUUGCUCGUUGUUUCCAUGGUGCUGGGAUUUCUUCUAUGGAACGUAGCCCACAGCAAGAUCCAUUUUAGUGAAAUUUUACAGAUUGCAGUAUGAAAUGACAUACCUGCCAUCUUUUUUCUGCGCAUAGAUUUUAGAAGCCACUUUAACAUUCACCAUUACAGCCUGCAGUUCUUUUCCAUAAAGGAAACAUUGCUAAUAUUUGCAAGGAAGAAAGCAUAACUUCUGGAAUGGAAUGAUACCAUGAAAAGUAUUUCUCAGCUGCAAUUAUGGGACAUCAGUUAUGAAAAUUGAGUCAUAAAUGCAAUUUUUAUUCAAAUAGAUUAGCAAUGCAAUCAAUUCAUUUACUUAAAACUGACUGAUGAUGAAAGGACACGUUUUUAGCAAGUGAACUGCUAUCUCCAUGCUAAAUCUGGAGUUCAGAAGUUUUGUUAUACGGAACCUAUAGAGCUCAGAACCUGUGCAGCGUUCUGGAACACAAUGGCACAUUUACUUGACGUUGUUUUGCUAGAGAGUGGUGUGUGUUGCUAGAAUGCGGUCGUUCUAUUAAAGUCCUUGUAGUCCUCCU